rnacentral:lncRNA from 1 species
CAAAAGUUUAAGACUCAUUUAUUUCACUUUUAAUGAUAAAAGUAAACUUUGCAUUUAAAAAGUUAACAUCCUAAAGAAAUUAUAUUAAAAAUAUAAAAUUUUAAUUCUUCACUUACUUCGAAGGCAGUCAGGGAAACGUUUGCUGGUGGUCAGUUCAGGACCUGCAGGGUUUGAGUACGGGCCUCCGGAUCUCUUCUAGGGAGUUCCCUGAAACUUUGUUUUUGUAUUAUUGACUGAAAGAUUAUUGGCCUUAGAACUAUUUCUGCUGUUUGGGGAUAUAUGAGGUAUCUUAAAAGCCAAAAAAUUGACCAAAAUAUACAUGUAUAACAUUUUUCCUAAUGUAAUGUAUGAUGCCACAGUAUUAGAGCAGGAUUAUCAUUUUUUUUAAUCAAACUUAAACUAGUAGUUAUAGUUUCAAUGCAAUUUAUAUUAUUCCAGUGAUUCUAUACCUUGAUAUGCUUUAUAUAGAAAAAUGUGCUUUAAAGCCCACUUAAUCUGAACUAAAAUGCUUCAUAAAGUUAUCAGCUGCUCUUUGAUUCCUCUUUUAGAUACUUUUAGUUAUUGCUGUGAACAUUUAAAAGAAUAAUUUAUUUAAAGUAAUAGAACUUGAAAUUAUCCCGAUCCACAUUCUCCUCACAUUUAUUUAGCUCCAUGUGUCAUUGGACAUGAGCCUUGUGUCAGUCAGCCUCCGCGGCAGAUGGAGUAGAUGCCAGUUCAGGGCAGGGGUCCUGUGUGCGGGGUCCUGCAUGCAGGGGGACGGCUGUGUGAGGGCGUUUGCUAUGCACCAGCCUGUUGUGAGAUCCUUACUUGUCUUAGUGCUCCUGUAGUAUUAGUGCUUCUUGUUGUAUAAUUGCCAAAUACACAUUCAAUGCAGUUUGUAUUUGUGGUGCUUUUAUCCAUUGUUUAUAACAUUUAGGAAUAUCUGGAGCAGGACUCACCAAGCCUGCAGCUCCAUCUUCCCACAGGGAAAUCUGCAUGGCUACCCAAGAAGUCUGAGGACCCCACAGAAACUGAUGCCUGUGUUCAGGUUCCAAAUGGAAUUCCAGAAACAAGCCUGGAUACCCACUGUGGCUCCAUCCAGUUUCCUCACCACAGAAAGAUGGGCCAAAAACAGAAAAAAAGAAGAUGCAAAUGUCACCAAGUCCAAACUCACUCUGCUCUCUGCAUAACAGGCCAGUAAAUUAGGAGACAGUUUCUUGGGGCAAAGAGUAGCUACUUUAUUUAGAAAGCCAUUUAGAAAGCCAUUCAGAAAGCCAGCAGACCAAGAAGAUAACAGACUAAGGUCCUGGAGAACCAUCUUCCCCAAGUCAGAAUUCAGGCUCUUUUCCUACUUGCUUGGUUGUUGCAAACUUUUUGGGGUAAGAAUUCUUUGUUCUUGGAAUCCUGUGUUCUUGCAGCUGUGCAUGUAGGUCAGAUCAUGGUGCCCCUGUAAACCUCCAGCAAAAUAAAUGUUAUUUUAUAUUC